GGCCGCCGGUGCCUCGUAACAGAGGAGAAUAGGGAAUGCGGUGAAGAUCCGCAGCAGCCCCCACUACUGUAACCCGGUACGAAAUCCCGAAAAAUGGUCAUUGGCCGGUCUUCCUUUUUUAUCGGGAAGGCGAUACGGCUGAGAAGGCGAGGGAGAGUAGGAGAAACGGGUAAGCCAGGAGACCUGCCGGUGAGUUUU
rnacentral:ncRNA from 1 species